rnacentral:rRNA from 1 species
AUUGAACGCUGGCGGCAUGCCUAACACAUGCAAGUCGAGCGGAGCGGCGGACGGGUGAGUAAUGCCUAGGAAUCUGCCUGGUAGUGGGGUAUAACGUCCGGAAACGGGCGCUAAUACCGCAUACUAUCAGAUGAGCCUUGGUCGGAUUAGCUAGUUGGUGGGGUAAAGGCCUACCAAGGCGACGAUCCGUAACUGGUCUGAGAGGAUGAUCAGUAACACUGGAACUGAGAAACGGGCCAGACUCCGACGGGAGGCAGCAGUGGGGAGUGUUGGACAAUGGGCUAAAGCCUGAUCCAGCCAUGCCGCGUGUGUGAAGAAGGUCUUCGGAUUGUAAAGCACUUUAAGUUGGGAGGCGUUACCAACAGAAUAAGCACCGGCUAACUUCGUGCCAGCCGCCGCGGUAAUUC